GCAGUAAAAACCAAAGCCAAGGGCAAGACUGGGUCAGCCUCUUCACUCCCCUUCUGUGAAAGAUCUCCGCUGCUGGCUGCAACCCAGUAGGCGUUGAGAGAUGGGAGGGAGGGCUGUGCCAGACCUUGGCAGGUUUCAUGUUAUAAUAAUAAUGAACCUUGUGACCAUCCCUCUGUGUUACAGUCAAAUAGAAGAUAACCAAUUUGUGGCAUUAGGGAACGAAAUAGCAAAAAGCUUUAAUUUGAGUAAUUGUUGGGUAUGUGGAAGCCUGAAGGGAUCUGAAGAAUGGCCAUGGGUAGCCCGGCCUGUCCAGCCUAAAUGGCUGGUGAGUAGCUUAAGUACAGUACGCCAUGGAACGAAGCUCUGGGCUGAAGAGGGAGUUGCAUGGAAAAUAUUGUACUCAGGGAAGGGGAACUAUUGCCUGAACAGAACCAGGCCAGGAGGGAAAUAUUUGGGGAAAAGUGAAUGUGAAUGGACGUUGUCAACAGGAAUGGACAGUUAUGACUCACUAUGUACACCUUAUAAUUGUCGAAGGUACCAAGGAAGGUGGAACCAAACACAUAUUAAGCUCAGAGAUGGCACUUGGGUAAGGUGUUCCUUCCAUGAACCUUGGCAUGCCGGUUGCAGGGCAGCCGCGAGAGAGGUUGGUAAAAGAGGGGGGUUUAAAGAUUCUCUGUUCCUGGCUUGCCAACGGGACAAUACUACUAGCAAAAACCAUGAGUCUAUCAGUGGGCUUGGCAAAAUUCAAAUGGGACUAGAACAUAUUUCAAGAAAUUUUGGUCAGCUACAAAUCGAACAAAAGAGAGAGGAUGUAACUGCAAAUGGCAUCCGGAUGCAGAGGCCUUUGAAUGUGACUACUGCGAUUCCUAUGGGGAUCUAAUUAUAUCAGGAGGACUGUGGGGCUCGGAAGAUCCGCUAUAUUAUGAGACCACACAUGAUGAUGGAACAUAGGAUGGUCCAUUUGCUAACGGGCCUUGGGCUUUAGAAGGCCAUUACUGGAUAUGUGGGCAACACGCUUAUCGAAGGUUACCUCCAAAUUGGUCA
rnacentral:lncRNA from 1 species